CUGGGAACUAAACCUUCAAUGAGAAUGCAAACGGAAAAAACCUAGUUAAAAAAAAAAAAAAAAUUUACACCUGAAUUGUUCCUUGUCAAGCAACAGAAACUGCACACCUCAGGUAAAGGGAAUUCUUAUCAGAAGAUUCAUUAGCAUCCUUGUUUAGGCAGUAGAAAAAAAGCACCCUAACCUUUAGGGGCUGGUGUUCAAAAAACAAUUAAGUGCCCAUUAGCCAGCAGUAUUGUAG